GCUUGCUUCGGCAGCGCAUACACUAAAAUUGGAAUAAUACAGAGAAGAUUAGCAUGACCCCUGUGCAAAGACAUGCAAAUUCAUGAAGAAUUACAUAUUUUU
ensembl:snRNA U6 U6 spliceosomal RNA